CUACGGGUUGCAGCAGUGGGGAAUAUUGCACAAUGGGGGAAACCCUGAUGCAGCAACGCCGCGUGGAGGAUGACGCAUUUCGGUGUGUAAACUCCUUUUAUAUCCCAAGAUAAUGACGGUAGGAUAUGAAUAAGCACCGGCUAACUCCGUGCCAGCAGCCGCGGUAAUACGGAGGGUGCAAGCGUUACUCGGAAUCACUGGGCGUAAAGGGCGCGUAGGCGGGUUGUCAAGUCUUGAGUGAAAUCCAACGGCUCAACCGUUGAACUGCUUGAGAAACUGGCAGCCUAGAGUAAGGGAGAGGUAGAUGGAAUUGGUGGUGUAGGGGUAAUCUCCGUAGAGAUCACCAGGAAUACCCAUUGCGAAGGCGAUCUGCUGGAACUUUACUGACGCUGAGGCGCGAAAGCGUGGGGAGCAAACAGGAUUAGAUACCCGGGUAGUC
rnacentral:rRNA from 1 species